rnacentral:rRNA from 1 species
AACGAACGCUGGCGGCAUGCCUAACACAUGCAAGUCGAACGGGAUCCUGGCUUCGGCCAGGUGAGAGUGGCGGACGGGUGAGUAACGCGUGGGAACCUGCCCAUUGGUCUGGGAUAACUGCGGGAAACUGCAGCUAAUACCGGAUGUACCCGAGAGGGGAAAGAUUUAUCGCCGAUGGAGGGGCCCGCGUCAGAUUAGGUAGUUGGUGAGGUAACGGCUCACCAAGCCUACGAUCUGUAGCUGGUCUGAGAGGAUGAUCAGCCACACUGGGACUGAGAUACUGCCCAGACUCCUACGGGAGGCAGCAGUGGGAAUAUUGGGACAAUGGGGGCAACCCUGAUCCAGCAAUGCCGCGUGAGUGAUGAAGGCCUUAGGGUUGUAAAGCUCUUUUACCAGGGACGAUGAUGACGGUACCUGGAGAAUAAGCCCCGGCUAACUUCGUGCCAGCAGCCGCGGUAAU